rnacentral:lncRNA from 1 species
GGGGCCCAGAUGCUUGAUCGAAAGAAAAAUAAAAAGAUCCGAGCACGUAUGGUCAAAAUCUAUCUUGUCUUUACCACGAGUCAUUUUCCUUGAGGGGGCGGAGCGUAUACGAAAUGAAGCAGCAGCUAGCACGCUAAGAUCAACCACUUGGAGAAGGUGAAGCCUUUUAAGUGUGGGUGGUGAAGAAAAAUGGUAAGGAUUCUUAAUUUUCCAAUGGACAUGAUCUUCUUGUUCAGCCAAAUUAAUAUUGCGCUCAUAGUGCUUAUGUGCAAUAUGGGACCGAUAUCAUCAAGAGCACAGCCACAGAACAUGACUCUUCCACAUGAUGAGGGUAGGCUGCUGCUGCGGCUGCUGCUUUCUAAAUGUAGUUUUUGUUUUUUGUUUUUAAAUAAAUAAAUUAGAAGGAACAUUUGAUGGGAUUUUUGCUUUAUGCGGGUGUAAUGGCAGUUGAAGCCCUUCGUGAAAUAGCUGCACAACUGCAUAAAAAGGACUGGAAUUUCAGCGACCCGUGUAGCAAUGUUCCAACUUUCUCAACCCCACAUACAGAUCAGUACAACAACACUCUCUUCUGCAAUUGCUCCUUCCCUGGCAAUGUGUGCCAUGUCCAAAGCAUGUAUGCAUAUAUUUUUGCCAUUUGUAUGCUUUAAAUUCUUGCAGCACCGGUUCAUUCAUAAAUUCAUUUUCCUAAUUAAAUAUGAUGGUUGCUGGUUACUGUUUGGAGUGAUUAGUCAAGAAUCAACCUUUGAUUUUUUGGAUCCUUGUUGUGCAGUUUUCUUAUGGGGCAGGAACUGGAUGGUGUGCUUCCACCAGCACUGGUGAAGCUACCUUACAUUAAGCAACUGUAUGAAGAGCAGAGAUUUUCAAUAACUGCUUUAGCUUUUACCAUCUCAAAUCUAUUGGUUUUUAUCCUAAUUAAUAGGACUCUUUCUUCUUUGCUCAUAGUAAUCUGGACCAGAAUUACCUUAGUGGUCCGAUACCAAGCAAAUGGACUUCUACGAAGUUGGAAUUUCUG